GGCAGCAGCUGUACUAGAAAGGUCCCUUGUGGCCUGCUUUGCUUUUUUUCUCCCGGGAUGCUGUUUUGGGCGCUGAGGGGGCGGUGAGGCGGUUUAGUGGUAUGGUGUUCUGUUUGGGGUUUGGUUUUUGCUUUGCUGGUUUUCUUCCCCCUCGUGAGAUCAUUUUAUUCGUUUAUCAUUUCAUAUUAUCAUUUACCCCGCGCCAUUUCCGUCCCCUCUGGGCAGCAGCGGAUCCGCCGCUCGAGGGCGAGGAGCUGGGCCGACAACGGGCCGCUGCAGACUCUGGUCAGGGUACGAGGCUGCUCCCUGGGGAGCCGGCGCAGGGGGCGCGGAGGGGUACCGGCCAGAUUAGGGCAACACCUGAACAGUAAAACCAUUUAGGGGAAGCAGAGCUGGGCUGCACCGCGUGGCCAACCUCCCUCUUCUCCGUGAGUCCCAAAGGGGCAGCUCCAAGAAUGUGCUGAGAAUUCAUCCCUUGCGCUAAAAAUGAGACGGCAACUUCUGUUCCCGAGGUGGUGCCUACAGUACAGCUAUCUCUUCGAAGGCAGUUUGGUUUAGGUCAGAGAAUGUUUAGCCUGGACUGAAUCAGCCUCUGUUUCUGUUUCUGGAAAUCGUCGGUCCUGUGCAUCAAGCCCGGAAAAAAGGAAAUAUGAACCAAAGGACCUGGGGCCUGCAGGGCUAGGAAAAUAUUUGAGAAGAGGUUCAGUGGGGAAAUGACUGUUUGUCUGUGGGGCGUCCAGGCAAGCAACCCAGCUGCUAGAAAGCGGCGCUGUCCCCAGGGUGGCCUCGGCGGUCCCGUCGGAGUCGGGGGAACAAGGACAAGGCAGGGGGAAGCAUCUGGCCUGCCGUGUGGACCGUGACUGUACAAAGCACGUGUGAUGCACUGCAAGUUUACCUGUUUAAACUGUGAGUUAAAGAAGGUGUGCAGUUGCUUUGUAAAGAGCCGACGCUCUAAAGCUACACCCAUCUAAUUGCUAGCUGUAUUAAAUCUAUCGUAUUGCUGUUUCUGCAUUAAAAAAGAAAAAAACCAACACACCUAUGUAAGCAC